rnacentral:rRNA from 1 species
CCUACGGGAGGCAGCAGUGGGGGAUAUUGCACAAUGGGGGAAACCCUGAUGCAGCGACGCCGCGUGUGGGCAGACGGUCCUCUGGAUUGUAAACCACUGUCCCCAGGGACGAAGAUGACGGUACCUGGGGAUGAAGCUCCGUCUAACUACGUGCCAGCAGCAGCGGUAAUACGUAGGGAGCGAGCGUUGUCCGGAAUUACUGGGUGUACAGGGAGCGUAGGUGGGGAUGCAAGUUGGGUGUCAAAACUACCGGCUCAACUGGUAGUCGCACUCACAACUGCAGCUCUUGAGUGAAGUCGAGGCAGGCGGAAUUCCUAGUGUAGCGGUGAAAUGCGUAGAUAUUAGGAGGAACACCAGUGGCGAAGGCGGCCUGCUGGGCUUUUACUGACGCUGAGGCUCGAAAGUGUGGGGAGCAAACAGGAUUAGAUACCCGGGUAGUC